GGGAGAAGGAAGGAAGGAAUGAGGUAGAAAAGGAAGAAAGGAGAGAAAGAGGGAGGGAAGAAAGAAGGAAGGAAGGAAUGAGGUAGAAAAGGAAGAAAGGAGAGAAAGAGGGAGGGAAAGAAAGAAGGAAGGAAGGAAUGAGGUAGAAAAGGAAGAAAGGAGAGAAAGAGGGAGGGAAAGAAAGAAGGAAAGGGAGAAGGAAGGAAGGAAUGAGGUAGAAAAGGAAGAAAGGAGAGAAAGAGGGAGGGAAAGAAAGAAGGAAGGAAGGAAUGAGGUAGAAAAGGAAGAAAGGAGAGAAAGAGGGAGGGAAAGAAAGAAGGAAA